rnacentral:rRNA from 1 species
AGCGAACGCUGGCGGCAGGCCUAACACAUGCAAGUCGAACGAACCUUUCGGGGUUAGUGGCGGACGGGUGAGUAACACGUGGGAACGUGCCUUUAGGUUCGGAAUAACUCAGGGAAACUUGUGCUAAUACCGAAUGUGCCCUUCGGGGGAAAGAUUUAUCGCCUUUAGAGCGGCCCGCGUCUGAUUAGCUAGUUGGUUGAGGUAAUGGCUCACCAAGGCGACGAUCAGUAGCUGGUCUGAGAGGAUGAUCAGCCACAUUGGGACUGAGACACGGCCCAAACUCCUACGGGAGGCAGCAGUGGGGAAUCUUGCGAAAUGGGCGAAAGCCUGACGCAGCCAUGCCGCGUGAAUGCUGAAGGUCUUAAGAUUGUAAAAUUCUUUAAUCGGGGACGAUAAUGACGGUACCCGGAGAAGAAGCCCCGGCUAACUUCGUG